AUGCCCAUGCCCCAGAGCUGCCUGCCGGGCAGGGCAGCACUACUGCAGGAGAGGAUCUUGGCCUCGGGAUCAGGCAGGAAGGUCCCGGCUAGCCUGUGCUGGGUGCACUGGGCAGGGAGCCCUGGGCCCCUAGCCCCAUGGGGGCCUCUCAGGAGAGAAACUCCCUUGCACCCUUCCGCAGAGUGCUCUCCGGUAUCUUCUAGGCGGCAUGCCAGCCCCCAAACACAGGUGGCUUUUGGGCCCAGGUGGGUCAGCCGGCUGCCCCUGCCACAUACCCUCUCAGGCCAUUGGGACCCCUGCCCUUCAGAUACCCUAGGGUCUCUUUGGGCAGGAGGGGUGGUCCAGGCAGGACCCAGUCAGGAGUCCUGGAGCAGGGCCAGGGAGGUGCCCACCCCGCCCUGCCCAGCCACCCUCUCUGCUGUUUCUUCUAUUUGUUCUUUUUUUCACCCACAGCCCUGUGUUCCUGUCAUCCCUCCUUUCAGCAAAAGUCCUGUUCCCUCUGUCCCCACCCACUCCUGUUCCCCAAGAAAAUAAGCUAUCAUUGUUGUAUUUGCAAUCUAUGGAUUAGAGGUUUAAGUAUUUAUUGUUAUUGGUUAAUUAUUAUUAUUAAUUAUGUAAAUUUGCCUCCCGUCUGUCUGUUGCGUUGGGUUUCUGAGGUGACCCUGGGUGUGGAGGAUGCACUGGCUCCCGAUUCUUGCCCCCCAACCCCUAUGCUGUCUGGGAGACAGUAGUCUGGGGCCACUGGUUGGGCCCCCUCCUCCCCUCCCCUCAUCCCUUCUCCAGGGCAUGGGGGAUCUGUCUGUCUCAGUCCGUCUCUGCUCCUGCUCUUGAGGCACUGGUCACCCCGAAGUGAGCGGCCAGGGUGGGGAAGAAGGUCCUGUCUCAGCCACUGCCACCUCCAGUGCUUCAGGAGGCAGGCCAGGGCCCCACCCUGGUGGCUUUCUCCCACCUGGGCCCGGAGUCCUCCCCAAGCCUCUCCCGCCCCUCCCGCCUGGCCACUGCCUGGCACUGGGAAUGCCUCACAAUGGACCUGGCCCCUCCUGUCAUUUGCUGGGAAGUCCAGCGGAGGAGUGGGUGCAGGUCCCCCGCCGAGCCUCCAGUCUCUGUGGACUGGGCUGCCGGCUCUCCAGCCCCCCUUGGAGCCCCUCCCUCCACGGCCGGCCGCACCUUCUCUCCUGGCCCCUCCCUUUGUAUUUGGAGACAAUGUGUUGUAAUAAAGCUUAAAGUGGAUGUUUUC